rnacentral:rRNA from 1 species
CGUAGGUGGCAAGCGUUGUCCGGAUUUAUUGGGUUUAAAGGGUGCGUAGGCGGCUUGAUAAGUCAGUGGUGAAAGCCGAUCGCUUAACGAUCGAACUGCCAUUGAUACUGCCAGGCUUGAGUAUAGUUGAGGUAGGCGGAAUUGACAGUGUAGCGGUGAAAUGCAUAGAUAUUGUCAAGAACACCAAUUGCGAAGGCAGCUUACUAAAGUAUAACUGACGCUGAGGCGCGAAAGUGCGGGGAUCAAACAGGAUUAGAUACCCUGGUAGUCCGCACCGUAAACGAUGAUCACUCGCUGUGUGCGAUAAACAGUACGCGGCCAAGCGAAAGCGAUAAGUGAUCCACCUGGGGAGUACGCCCGCAAGGGUG